rnacentral:rRNA from 1 species
GCUGGCGGCGUGCCUAAUACAUGCAAGUCGAACGAACUCUGGUAUUGAUUGGUGCUUGCAUCAUGAUUUACAUUUGAGUGAGUGGCGAACUGGUGAGUAACACGUGGGAAACCUGCCCAGAAGCGGGGGAUAACACCUGGAAACAGAUGCUAAUACCGCAUAACAACUUGGACCGCAUGGUCCGAGUUUGAAAGAUGGCUUCGGCUAUCACUUUUGGAUGGUCCCGCGGCGUAUUAGCUAGAUGGUGGGGUAACGGCUCACCAUGGCAAUGAUACGUAGCCGACCUGAGAGGGUAAUCGGCCACAUUGGGACUGAGACACGGCCCAAACUCCUACGGGAGGCAGCAGUAGGGAAUCUUCCACAAUGGACGAAAGUCUGAUGGAGCAACGCCGCGUGAGUGAAGAAGGGUUUCGGCUCGUAAAACUCUGUUGUUAAAGAAGAACAUAUCUGAGAGUAACUGUUCAGGUAUUGACGGUAUUUAACCAGAAAGCCACGGCUAACUACGUGCCAGCAGCCGCGGUAAUACGUAGGUGGCAAGCGUUGUCCGGAUUUAUUGGGCGUAAAGCGAGCGCAGGCGGUUUUUUAAGUCUGAUGUGAAAGCCUUCGGCUCAACCGAAGAAGUGCAUCGGAAACUGGGAAACUUGAGUGCAGAAGAGGACAGUGGAACUCCAUGUGUAGCGGUGAAAUGCGUAGAUAUAUGGAAGAACACCAGUGGCGAAGGCGGCUGUCUGGUCUGUAACUGACGCUGAGGCUCGAAAGUAUGGGUAGCAAACAGGAUUAGAUACCCUGGUAGUCCAUACCGUAAACGAUGAAUGCUAAGUGUUGGAGGGUUUCCGCCCUUCAGUGCUGCAGCUAACGCAUUAAGCAUUCCGCCUGGGGAGUACGGCCGCAAGGCUGAAACUCAAAGGAAUUGACGGGGGCCCGCACAAGCGGUGGAGCAUGUGGUUUAAUUCGAAGCUACGCGAAGAACCUUACCAGGUCUUGACAUACUAUGCAAAUCUAAGAGAUUAGACGUUCCCUUCGGGGACAUGGAUACAGGUGGUGCAUGGUUGUCGUCAGCUCGUGUCGUGAGAUGUUGGGUUAAGUCCCGCAACGAGCGCAACCCUUAUUAUCAGUUGCCAGCAUUAAGUUGGGCACUCUGGUGAGACUGCCGGUGACAAACCGGAGGAAGGUGGGGAUGACGUCAAAUCAUCAUGCCCCUUAUGACCUGGGCUACACACGUGCUACAAUGGAUGGUACAACGAGUUGCGAACUCGCGAGAGUAAGCUAAUCUCUUAAAGCCAUUCUCAGUUCGGAUUGUAGGCUGCAACUCGCCUACAUGAAGUCGGAAUCGCUAGUAAUCGCGGAUCAGCAUGCCGCGGUGAAUACGUUCCCGGGCCUUGUACACACCGCCCGUCACACCAUGAGAGUUUGUAACACCCAAAGUCGGUGGGGUAACCUUUUAGGAACCAGCCGCCUAAGGUGGGAC